GUGAAACUUGCACAGCUGAUCUCAUCAGUGUGCUGGGGAUUUAAAAGGUUUUGCUCUGUUUGAGGAACAGAUAACUCCUCAGUUGUUCUCUGCAGCUCCCAUGUCCUCAGCCUCUCGCAUACCUGCAACAAGGUCUUCACCACCAGACCCAUUCACAUAAGAAGAUAUGCAAUCCACACGGCAGAACAGAGACAGCUGAGCAUCAGCAGGAAGUGCUUCGCAAACGCAAGCUGUGCAUACAGAACCGCUGAAACAAGCCAUAGCUGAACAUUGUUCUUGUCUCUACACGCUACCUUUGGCAGCAGGAUCUGGACUUUGUGUCUGAGCAAAAAACAAAACAGAAACAAGAUCCAAGGUUGAGGAAAGUACACUGGACUCUGUUUACUACUAGACCGAGUUCACCAGCUGAUCCUGUGUAAUCAAGUGGCUUUCCGGGGACAAUUGUCCCCAGAAGAUGAAGGGCAAGUGUUUCUCUUACAGUUUGUUUUAUAUAUUUGUUAAAACUGUCACCAUGUAGUAACAGUUUGUUAUGAGACAGUUAAUCUGUGGAAAGGUCGGUCUACUCAACCUCCUGAGCCACUGCAGCUGUCUGGCGGAGGACACCUGCCAACCAACAACAACCAAUCAGAGCCAGGGGAGGGUCUUAGCCCCGUCAGUCAAUCUCAUGUACUGGCCAAUAAAUGUGCUGAUGGUGGAGAAACAACUUACCUCUACAGGAAAACCAUUUAUACACCAUCAUCAGUGACUAUGCUAACUAGCAUGAACAUCUAUGACAAGAUCAACUGAAGGUAAAAGGUUGCAGCAGCGACCAGGUGGGUGAAGGGGACGAGCAGCGCCACACGAGAUUGUGAAGCACUAAGAUCCGCCUUCGGGUUCUGAUUAGCUGUUUCUAGUUAGCACUGAUAGA